AUAGUCAUGAUACACAUCACAGAGGUCAGCAACAUUAUUCAGGACAGAUGGAGGUUCUGGCUUCUGAAAUCCUCACCACUGGGUGCAUAGUUACAGGUGAUAACAUCUGAGUAAGGGUCGAAUCAGACCUUCUGGCAACUUAAUGGUCUUUCUUUUUACAUCUAGACUUAAAUACACAAGACUGGGUCAGUUCUCUAAGUAGACUAGCCUGGAUAUGUGCUGGGGACCAUUCUUCAGAGCUAGGAGCACCUCCUUAAACUCAGCUUUAUACUGUAGAAAUAAAUCAAGACAAACCAAAUGAGAACAAGCAAAUGUUAUUUAUUCAGAGCUUGCUAUAGGAAAGAAGUCAACCAUCAUCACCUGAGUUAUGGCAGGCAGAGGAGUGGAAAAAAGAGCAGGCUUCAGGAGGAAGCGGAGGACAAGAAAACGGAGAGAAGGAAGGAGGAAGAGAGAAAGAAGAGAAGAAGAGAAGGAGUAGAGCCUGGAAGAGGAAGGGGUAACCAGACAAUUCCCCUCCGUUUUGACAUAGCAGGCGGACUCCAACUUUUUUAUAUAAAAUAUUCAAAAGUGAACCCCUAGAUGUAUAUAUGGUUUGCAGUCCUGCUCAGGUCUUCUACGCAACCUCUUUAAGGAUCUGAUAAUUCUAAUCAAGAAAUACAUUAGCCUAGGCUCAGAUGACGAGAUUCCCGCUUCCUGAGCUGGUCUGCCUGCACUUAUCCUACAGAAAAAUCCAGUGUGAGCUACCUGAGCUGAAAAUUUCCCACUACAAGACUAUUACGGUGAAAAGAGACUAAUAUAAAUAGAAGGCAUUGCUUUAAGCCCUACACUUCAUUGGUUUGAUGAAGUUUGAGGAAAACAGGAAUAAAUCAAAUGUGUUGAGGAUCAGUAUUUCACAUUUAUAAAGUAUAAAGCUUAUUAAUGGUUUUUAAAUUUUAUUUUAUUAUUCUUUUUGAGGAAAAUUAGCCCUGAGCUAACAUCCGUGCCCAUUUUCCUCUCCUUUAUAUGUGGGAUGCCUACCACAGCAUGGCUUGCCAAGUGGUGCCAUAUCUGCACCCGGGAUCCAAAGUGGAACGUGCGCACUUAACCGCUGCGCCACCGGGCCGGCCCCUAUUAAUAGUUUUGAAGAGAAAAGAUUCUAUAUGACUACAAAACCAGCGUUAUCAUUGGUAACAUAUUCAAAUAUCUUUCCAACAUUUUUCUGAUUCAGACUCCUAAAUUUCGUAUUAAAAUGUGAUAAGAUAUUCACUAAAAAGACUUUGUAAACAGGCAAAGCUUGAAAAACAAUGAGUAUACUUAGGAAAUUUCACACAAACAACAAUCACAUUUUUGGGUACUUUUCCCAAAUGAAAAGGACAAAAUUAGGAUAUAAUAAUAAUAGUAAUAAUAGGAUAUAAUGAUAACAGUGCCUACUAGCUGCUGAGAGGGCUGAGCAUCUCUUAGGCACUGUUCUACCUGCUUUCAAUGUAUUUAUUAUCUUACUUAAUUCUCACAAAACUCCUCUGCGAUAAAUACCAUUUUAUUGCUAUUUUAUUGAUAAGGAAUCAACAAAUCAAAAAUUCUACAGAAUGAGAAUGGAAAGCAUCUGAAUUUGAGGGUAUCAGAGAGUUAAUCUCCUACAUCCCAACAUGAGGAUGUUGAGAAGUAUUUAGUAGACACAGAAGACAAUAAAGUUCAUAAAGCUGAUAUAAAGGGGAAAGAGAGUAUAACAAAAAAGCAUAUUCAUAGACUCAAAGGCUGUCAGCUUGCCUUGAGGAACUCUAAAAUAACAAGCUUCAUUUGUUUUGUUUGUUUUCUUAAUUGCUCCUUGGUGCGCUGAAAAGCUUUUCAAUCUCUGCAGCACCUGUGCACUGCAGAAAGGGCUGGAUCUGGGCAGCUUCCAUCUCUAAGUCAAAUCGGCCGCACAGACCUGACAUGCUGGUUGCACAUUUAUUAGGUU
rnacentral:lncRNA from 1 species